rnacentral:rRNA from 1 species
GACGAACGCUGGCGGCGUGCUUAACACAUGCAAGUCGAACGGACAGGCCCUGCUUUUGUGGGGUGCUUGAGUGGCGAACGGGUGAGUAACACGUGUGUAACCUGCCCUUGACUUUGGGAUAACUUCAGGAAACUGGGGCUAAUACCGGAUAGGAGCUCCUGCUGCAUGGUGGGGGUUGGAAAGUUUCGGCGGUUGGGGAUGGACUCGCGGCUUAUCAGCUUGUUGGUGGGGUAGUGGCUUACCAAGGCUUUGACGGGUAGCCGGCCUGAGAGGGGGACCGGCCACAAUGGGACUGAGAUACGGCCCAGACUCCUACGGGAGGCAGCAGUGGGGAAUAUUGCACAAUGGGCGGAAGCCUGAUGCAGCAACGCCGCGUGCGGGAUGACGGCCUUCGGGUUGUAAACCUCUUUCGCCUGUGACGAAGCGUGAGUGACGGUAAUGGGUAAAGAAGCACCGGCUAACUACGUG